GCUGGAAUGGCCGAGUCGUUAAGGCGAUAGAUUUGAAUCCGGUUUUCUUGCAUAUCUAUUACUCUAUGAGUGCGUAGGUUCAAAUCCUGCUUCCAGCG
rfam:Lentinula edodes NBRC 111202 DNA, contig: scaffold57.